CUCGACUCCAUGAAGCUGGAUUCGCUAGUAAUCGCGCAUCAGCCAUGGCGCGGUGAAUACGUUCCCGGGCCUUGUACACACCGCCCGUCAAGCCAUGGAAGCCGGGAGUGCCUGAAGUGUGCAACCGCAAGGAGCGCCCUAAGGUAAAACUGGUGACUGGGGCUAAGUCGUAACAAGGUAGC
rnacentral:rRNA from 1 species